UCAUGAAUCCAUUCCUCCUGUUGCCAGCUGUGAUCUCCUCAACACAGAGUGAACAAAAUGCAGCAGUGUUUUCACUAUUGGUCCAUUCAGCCUUAUCAAUAUCAUCGUUCUAGUACACAAGCAUGUUAAUGUUAUACAUAGCAUGAACUGCUGCUACAUAAAAACUAAGAACAAUUGUACUUUUAAAUUAAGGUUCUAUCCUGCUCACAUAAUAUUGACCAAAUGGCAGAAAUUAAUUAAACGUUGAGGAAAUAUUACCGAUUCAUCAUCUCCAACACCAUCAUAAUACUGAU
rnacentral:lncRNA from 1 species